rnacentral:rRNA from 1 species
UGGGGAAUAUUGCACAAUGGAGGGAACUCUGAUGCAGCGACGCCGCGUGAACGAAGAAGGUCUUCGGAUCGUAAAGUUCUGUUGCAGGGGAAGAUAAUGACGGUACCCUGUGAGGAAGCCCCGGCUAACUACGUGCCAGCAGCCGCGGUAAUACGUAGGGGGCUAGCGUUAUCCGGAUUUACUGGGCGUAAAGGGUGCGUAGGUGGUCUUUCAAGUCGGUGGUUAAAGGCUACGGCUCAACCGUAGUUAGCCUCCGAAACUGGAAGACUUGAGUGCAGGAGAGGAAAGUGGAAUUCCCAGUGUAGCGGUGAAAUGCGUAGAUAUUGGGAGGAACACCAGUAGCGAAGGCGGCUUUCUGGACUGCAACUGACACUGAGGCACGAGAGCGUGGGUAGCAAACAGG